AGUGUACCAGGCAUUGCUCUAACCGUUUUACACAUUUACAUGCUAUAACUCCAAAAUUAUCGUUACCCCCUUUUACGAAUGAAGAGACUAAGACCUAGAAAUGUGAAGUACAUUUACCUGAACUCAUCACCUUCCCACCCCCAUCCCAUCGACUCUGUGCUGUAUCCUGAACCGGCUGACAGAACAAUGAUGUAGACUUGACUUGUUUUCGCCAACCUGGAAUGAAGCAAAGCUCUUGUGCACCCAAGAUCUGCUCUCUGUUGUAAAUCCUGUUCAGACCUGGUCUAAUUGGUUUGAAUAAAUAAAGAACCGGAAUCUUUCUCAUCCAAACUAGUUGCCAGCAUAUUUUUAAGGCCACCUCCCUUCAAAUUUAAAAGGAAGUGUUGAAUGUACUGUCACUAUAAAUUAAAAGCCCUGGAAAUUCACACGCAAGGAGGCAUUCUUUCUCCCAGGGGCACAAAAUUGUUUAAAAUUUGCAGAUAGGGUUAUUAAACACGAAGAUCCUUUUGCUAAAAAAAAAA
rnacentral:lncRNA from 1 species